GAACUGCGAUAAGUAAUGUGAAUUGCAGAAUUCAGUGAAUCAUCGAGUCUUUGAACGCACAUUGCGCCCCCUGGCAUUCCGGGGGGCAUGCCUGUCCGAGCGUCAUUGCUGCCCUUCAAGCCCGGCUUGUGUGUCGGGUCGUCGUCCCCUCCGGGGGACGGGCCCGAAAGGCAGCGGCGGCACCGCGUCCGGUCCUCGAGCGUAUGGGGCUUUGUCACCCGCUCGAUAAGGACCGGCCGGGCGCCAGCCGGCGUCUCCAACCUUUUUUUCUCAGGUUGACCUCGGAUCAGGUAGGGAUACCCGCUGAACUUAAGC
rnacentral:misc_RNA from 1 species